rnacentral:rRNA from 1 species
GUACACUCCUACGGGAGGCAGCAGUGGGGAAUUUUGGACAAUGGGCGAAAGCCUGAUCCAGCCAUGCCGCGUGCAGGAUGAAGGCCUUCGGGUUGUAAACUGCUUUUGUACGGAACGAAACGGCCUUUUCUAAUAAAGAGGGCUAAUGACGGUACCGUAAGAAUAAGCACCGGCUAACUACGUGCCAGCAGCCGCGGUAAUACGUAGGGUGCAAGCGUUAAUCGGAAUUACUGGGCGUAAAGCGUGCGCAGGCGGUUAUGUAAGACAGUUGUGAAAUCCCCGGGCUCAACCUGGGAACUGCAUCUGUGACUGCAUAGCUAGAGUACGGUAGAGGGGGAUGGAAUUCCGCGUGUAGCAGUGAAAUGCGUAGAUAUGCGGAGGAACACCGAUGGCGAAGGCAAUCCCCUGGACCUGUACUGACGCUCAUGCACGAAAGCGUGGGGAGCAAACAGGAUUAGAUACCCCAGUAGUCCCAUGAU